rnacentral:rRNA from 1 species
UACGAAGGGGGGCUAGCGUUGUUCGGAAUUACUGGGCGUAAAGCGCGCGCAGGCGGCUAUCCAAGUCAGUGGUGAAAGCCCGGAGCUCAACUCCGGAACUGCCAUUGAAACUGUUUAGCUUGAGGAUGAGAGAGGUGAGUGGAAUUCCCAGUGUAGAGGUGAAAUUCGUAGAUAUUGGGAAGAACACCGGUGGCGAAGGCGGCCCACUGGAUCGGUACUGACGCUGAGGUGCGAAAGCGUGGGGAGCAAACAGG